CUCGCAGACAUAAGUAACGAUAAGGCCGGUGAAAUCCCGGUCCGCCGUAAACCCAAGGUUUCCUGGGCCAUGCUAUUCAUCCCAGGGUUAGUCGGGAGCUAAGCCGAGGCCGUAUGGCGUAGGCGAUGCCCAGCUGGUUAAUAUUCCAGCACUGCCGACAUUUAAGCGGAUGGGACGCGGUUGUGGAGGGAGCUCGCCGACUGAUAGUGGCGGGGGCGCAAGCUGACGGAGCGGGCAACCAAUCCGGAUCUUCCAAAGUGGCCGCCAAGAAAAGCAUCCGUGAAUACUAAGGCACCCGUACCGGAAACCGACACAGGUGGGUGGGUAGAAUAUACCAAGGCGCAAGAGUGAACCCUCGUGAAGGAACUUUGCAAUCUAAUCCCGUAACUUCGGAAGAAGGGAUGCCCCGUCCAGCGAUGGACAGGGCCGCAGUGAAAUGGGUCAACCGACUGUUUAUCAAAAACACAGCAUUGUGCGAAGCUGUAAGGCCAAGUAUACGAUGUGACACGUGACCAAUGCCGAAAGAUUAAGGCAAGGUGUUAGCCGCAAGGCGAAGCUCCGAACCCAAGUCCCGGUGAAUGUCGGCCGUAACGAUAACGGUCCUAAGGUAGCGAAAUUCCUUGUCGGGUAAGUUCCGACCUGCACGAAUCGUGUAACGAGUUGACCGCUGUCUCCACGAGGCGCUCGGUGAAAUUGUAGUGGCGGUGAAGAUGCCGCCUACCCGCAGAAGGACGGAAAGACCCUAUGCACCUUAACUGUAGGCUGUCACUGGUGCUUCGAUCUCGAUGCUCAGUGUAAGUGGUAGGCUUUGAGGCGGAUCUUUCGGGGUUCGCGGAGCCGUCAAUGAGACACCACCCUUUGAUGUUGAGGCAUCUAACCCUGGCCUUUUUACCAAGGCGGGGGACCAUGGCAGUUGGUCAGUUUGACUGGGGCGGUCUCCUCCCAAAGAGUAACGGAGGAGCGCGAUGGUUGGCUCAGCGCGGUUGGCAAUCGCGUGUCGAGUGUAUAGGCAUAAGCCAGCCUAACUGUGAGACAGACAUGUCGAGCAGAUGCGAAAGCAGGUCUAAGUGAUCCGGCGCUGGAAAGUGGAAUCGGCGUCGCUUAACGAACAAAAGGUACGCUAGGGAUAACAGGCUGAUCGCGCCCAAGAGUUCAUAUCGACGGCGCGGUUUGGCACCUCGAUGUCGGCUCGUCACAUCCUGGGGCUGGAGAAGGUCCCAAGGGUCCGGCUGUUCGCCGGUUAAAGUGGCACGCGAGCUGGGUUCAGAACGUCGCGAGACAGUUCGGUCCUCUAUCCUCUGUGGGCGUAGAAAACUUGAGGGGUUCAAUCCUUAGUACGAGAGGACCGGGAUUGACGCGCCGCUGGUGUUCCUGUUGUCUUGUCAAAGGCAUUGCAGGGCAGCCAUGCGCGGAAGGGAUAAGCGCUGAAAGCAUCUAAGCGCCAAGCCCAUCCCAAGAUGAGGUUUUCCUGAAGGGACGUUGUAGACCACGACG
rnacentral:rRNA from 1 species